ACGGGUGAGUAACGCGUAAAGAACUUGCCUCACAGUUUGGGACAACAUUUGGAAACGAAUGCUAAUACCGAAUAUUAUGAUCGAAUGGCAUCAUUUGAUUAUGAAAGCUAUGUGCGCUGUGAGAGAGCUUUGCGUCCCAUUAGCUAGUUGGAGAGGUAACGGCUCACCAAGGCGAUGAUGGGUAGCCGGCCUGAGAGGGUGAACGGCCACAAGGGGACUGAGACACGGCCCUUACUCCUACGGGAGGCAGCAGUGGGGAAUAUUGGACAAUGGACCAAAAGUCUGAUCCAGCAAUUCUGUGUGCACGAUGAAGUUUUUCGGAAUGUAAAGUGCUUUCAGUUGGGAAGAAGAAAGUGACGGUACCAACAGAAGAAGUGACGGCUAAAUACGUGCCAGCAGCCGCGGUAAUACGUAUGUCACAAGCGUUAUCCGGAUUUAUUGGGCGUAAAGCGCGUCUAGGCGGUUAAUUAAGUCUGAUGUGAAAAUGCGGAGCUCAGCUCCGUAUUUGCGUUGGAAACUGGUUAACUAGAGUACUGGGAGAGGUAAGCGGAACUACUAGUGUAGAGGUGCAAUUCGAAGAUAUUGUAGGAAUGCCCAUUGGGGAAGCCAGCUUAC
rnacentral:rRNA from 1 species